AAGAAAUAUAUUCAAAAGGUUGGGAACAACCCCUCGAAUGAGAGUAAUCCUUCAAUGUAAUGACUACACAUGAAAUGAGGGAUCAAUUUCAUGUGAUAAAAGCUUUUGUUUUGUUGUAAAAAAACACUUUAUAGUACAAAAGGGCACAUCAGUAUUUUUCUUUUAACUUUCCCUACGAACUAUACUGGUAUUAUAUGAUCAAAACAUGUCAAUUAAUUUUGUUAUAUUCCAGGACUUAUAUCUUCUUUAUUAUUAAAAGUAUAGUGGUCCCC
rnacentral:lncRNA from 1 species